CAGAGGGUGCAAACGUUGUUCGGAAUUACUGGGCGUAAAGCGCGUGUAGGCGGCUAUGCAAGUCGGGCGUGAAAGCCCUCGGCUCAACCGAGGAAGUGCACUCGAAACUGCGUAGCUAGAGUCUCGGAGAGGAAGGUGGAAUACUUGGUGUAGAGGUGGAAAUUCGUAGAUAUCAAGUGGAACACCGGUGGCGAAGGCGGCCUUCUGGACGAUGACUGACGCUGAGACGCCGAAAGCGUGGGGAGCAAACAGGAUUAGAUACCCUGGUAGUCCACGCCGUAAACGAUGAGUGCUAGGUGUCACGGGCUUUGACCCUCGUGGUGCCGAAGCUAACGCGUUAAGCACUCCGCCUGGGGAGUACGGCCGCAAGGCUA
rnacentral:rRNA from 1 species